rnacentral:lncRNA from 1 species
GUUGGUACUACAAAAGAAGUUAUACCCUACUCUUGCAACAAAUAAAGUGAAAUUAAAAGUCUAAAAUCUAUUCUUUGCAACACUUCACAAGCAAAGCCUAUAGACAAAAAGUCAGGUAUAAAAAGAUAAGUUACAACUUUUCCAUACAUGUUUUAUUUCACUAACAAUUUCAAAGAAAAAUGGUCAAGUGUUUUUGUUCAAUUUAACUACAUUAUGU